rnacentral:lncRNA from 1 species
AAUAAUCCCCGUCGGGAUUGUAGGCGACUGAUCAACCUCGUACGUCCCAUACCGCACGGCAGUGGACUUAUACAUUCCUCAAUGCAGGUCUAUAUGAUCACUCAAUCAUCUUGUAGCAACGCUCAACUAUAAGUAUUUAGUUAAUAUUUGGGAAAUAUCGUAUUAACCUUUCAGGUCAUAGUUAUUAUCUCAUUACUUCAGUUGAGUGCCAAAUCCAUUAAAUGUCUUGUCUAUUUCUCCUUGGUGUGAUCCUUGUCUCUAUAUAACUAGUUCAGUU